rnacentral:rRNA from 1 species
CCUACGGGAGGCAGCAGUGAGGAAUAUUGGUCAAUGGGCGGGAGCCUGAACCAGCCAAGUCGCGUGAGGGAAGAAGGUACUGAGUAUUGUAAACCUCUUUUGCCAGGGGACAAAGGCGGCCACGGGUGUCUGUAAGAGGGUACCUGGAGAAAAAGCAUCGGCUAACUCCGUGCCAGCGGCGGCGGUAAUACGGGGGAUGCGGGCGUUAUCCGGUUUUGUUGGGUUUAAAGGGUGCGCAGGGGGCGUGUCAAGUUAGAGGGAAAAGGUCGGGGUUAAACCCCGGACGGCCGUUGAAACUGGCGUGCUAGAGUUCGAGAGAGGUAUGCGGAAUUCGUGGUGUAGCGGUGAAAUGCAUAGAUAUCAUGAAGAACCCCGAUUGCGAAGGCAGCAUACCGGCUCCACACUGACGCUGAGGCACGAAAGCGUGGGUAUCGAACAGGAUUAGAUACCCCUGUAGUC